CUAACACCUAGAGGGGGUGAAUAGGUAUAAUAGCCAAAAACCACAAAUCUCAAUGUGAUAAAAAUAAAUGCGAAAAAAUAAAAUUCACACCGAGAUUUAUGUGGGAAAACUCCAACUUGGAGAAAAACCCACGGGACCAACACGCGAAAAAAUAAUUCACUAAGAGAAAAGAUUACAGGGUGAUUACCGACUCCACGGACUCGACCUCUCUUAACCUCUUAAGAAUCCCGCGCAAUUCUUCGGGUUGUCCACGCCCUCACGUUCGAAUCCACGAAUACCUCGUUCCGAAUCCACGAAACGCCUCCACUCCGAAUCCACGAAGCUCACGAUCCGAAUCCACGAACCGCCGUCAAUCACAUCGACUCUACGGUGCCGUCAU
rnacentral:lncRNA from 1 species